CCUCAACACUUCUUCAUCAUCAAUCAUCGGCUAAACCCGCCCACCCCCGACGCGACUCUCCCUCUCCCCGAGGUUACCCUAUCUCCAGUCUCCAGCGCCAUUAGUUCAUCCACCAGAACCGAGGACGCAGCCAGCACGCCGCACGCCGGCGGUAGGGCAUCCGCGGACGCACGCCUCGGGCAACCGCCGCCGAGGACGCACGCCGCAGGCCAGGGCAGCACACCGCCACGGACGCAAGCCAAGCGCCGCUGCUGCACGCGGACGCACGGCGCGGACAGCCGCCGCCGCCGCCGCAUACGGACGCCGCGGGCAGCUGCCGCCACAGACAGGGAAGUACUCCGUCGACGUCACUAACUCCUGCGCCGGUGAAGCUCCUCCUCCUGUUUCUCAGUCCAUCGCUAGGGUUUGUGCCGUUCAGGGUGCACUAUGGAUCUAUUUGCUCUCCUCAGUCUACCGAUUCGUGAAUCGAUUAGUGCGUGGGCUUGGUCCACCUCGGAUUCUGAUUUGGUCGUCGUGUCACUGGAGGAGCUAGAGGAGAUGAACGGCACCGGGGGCAGCCACCAACAGCAGCAGGUGCUCCUAAUGCAGCAAGCACUGCAGCAACGGUACCAGUGCGCUUCCUCGCCACCACGGCAGCGGCGGACAUGAGCCAGAUGAAGAUUUCAAUUUCAUUAGUUCAUCAAGAGCAUAGUAGUAGCCUUGCUUGUAUACUCUCAAGCCAGUCCCACUCACAAAAGGGGAUAUAUCUUAGUAGCGCACAAUCUGGAGGUGUAACUACUGAGCAGGGAGCCUGAACCAUCGACUAAUGCUUUUUGGGUGGUAGCCCUUAUGCUUUGUUCGAGAUCACCAGAAUUAUUCAAGGACAUGGUGUCCUCCAUUUGGCUCUCAUUCGCGACAAGUAUCAGCCUAUUGUAGAAUAUAUUGCGAAAUUCAAAGAGCUCUCCUUCCCAUUCGCUUAUGCAACUCAAGCAUAUAUUAAUUUGCGUUAUGGUCUCCUGUUGCAGCUGCUGAAUUAAUUCUUAGGUAUCUCCUUUCUCUCAAGAGAGUGUAGCUCAUCUGCUUCUUUAUAGGAAUAAGGGCUCUAGGGGUCAGCCGUUGGUCGUGAGGAGCAAGGGUUGUGCGGUAACAAUACUGUUUUUCUCUCCAAUUCUAAUAUGUAUAUUUCUCCAGCACCAAUUCGAUGGUUUUAUAUAAGUCAAGCUUAAAUAUGGUGCUGGUUCUCAAUUAAAAGUUGUCAUAAAAUGCACGCUCAGCUGACCUGCACACAACUGCAUAUUUGGUGCUGCCAUCUUGCCCCACACUUUAACAAGGCCAUCCUAGAACGUAUGUGCCUUUUGAUGGCUAUCUCAAGUGCCAAGAAUCAUGUGUGGACUGGUACAUGAGCAAAUUUUUUCACAAUCACAAAUCUGUUGAGCAUGGCUGCACAAGCACCAUAGUACACAUCGUAUAGAUGAUGGUCAGUAUACUUGGUCUACAAUUGAUCUGAAUUUGUUUGUCUUCAGUAUGUGUCUGCAAAAUUUCUGUUUCAUGUGUUGUUUUCUACUUACCAGGAAAGGGGAAGAUACAGUGUUUGCAUUUGUUUCAGAAUUGUUCUAUCAGCCAGCAAGUGCCUGGCUGAGGGGAUCUUUCACAUUAAUCUAGAGAAUGACCAAGAGGAACACGUGAGAGACCAGCUGAACAAAGGAGUUGUACCUGAGGACAUUAGUGUUCACUGCUACAUCGGCUUCCUGUUUGACUUCCCAUCUCACUGUGUUUGUGAAAAUGUAUUUGCUUCUAGGAAAAUAUAAGCCCUUGUAGUUUUAACUAACACUAAAAAUUCCUGGUACCGUAUUUUACUACUGUCUUAUGAUUCCUUGAACUAAUUUAAAAAAUAAUGAUAAAGCAAAGAAAGGAUAUGUGCUAUUUUGUAUUUUAGUGUAGCUUUAUAAUGUUAUUAUCCGAUCUAUUUUCUGCUUGAAUUCCAAUCACUAUGUCUGGGCAGUAAAUUUGGUGGUUCAGUGUAUUAAAUAUCAAAGAUAUAUGAUGCUCUGGAUAUGCACUUGACCAUAUAUGUUGAAGACAAUGUCUGGCAAUAGUUUGUAUAAAUUUGAGAAUUAUUUUAUUGUGUGAAAAAAAUGCAUAUCAUACCAGCACUAAUCAGCACUAAUGAAGUGCACUUGUUCUUUGUUGUGCACUUUUCUGCAACUUUUAGGUAUAUGUACUUGGGGUACAGGAGAAUAAAGGAGGCUUAAUCUGGCUGGUCUGGUCUGGUCUUUGAAGAUUGGCAUCAGGUUCAUACUCAAUAUUGGUCUGGUAUUAUACCUUUGCUGAUCCGUGAAUAUUGAGAUCAAUUGCUUCUUUUUUGGGCCCUGAUGAAGUGGUUGAACAGUGUUUUCUUUGCCAGUUUCAUGUGGAGGAAUAUUCAGUAUUGGAAAUUUAAGAUGGUUGAAUAUAUUCUGGAAUUACUAUUUUCUUGCCAGGUUCAGGCAAAAAUACAUAGAUCAGAACGCCUGCUAUCAAAGAUUCAAGCUUCCUAGGCACUUGCCGGUCCAUGUGAUGAUCAAGAAAUUAUUACAAAUGAGGAAAGGUCUGUUUCCAUGUGAUUGGUUCAUGUCUAAAGCAUAUUUUUGCCACAUGGUAGUUGCAAAUAAUACAUUGAUUUAUCAUUUUCCUUAUGUAUUUCAUGAGUUUGUGGCGUUUUAUACGGCGCUAUUGAAAAUGUGCACUUGUAUUGAAAGUUACUUGAACAAUACAUUGAGUGUUUAAUAUAUGUUACUUAGAUGUCA